UACGAAGGUGGCAAGCGUUGUUCGGAUUUACUGGGCGUACAGGGAGCGUAGGCGGUUGGAUAAGCCCUCCGUGAAAUCUCCAGACUUAACCUGGAAAGUGCAGAGGGGACUGUUCAGCUAGAGGAUGGGAGAGGAGCGCGGAAUUCCCGGUGUAGCGGUGAAAUGCGUAGAGAUCGGGAGGAAGGCCGGUGGCGAAGGCGGCGCUCUGGAACAUUUCUGACGCUGAGGCUCGAAAGCGUGGGGAGCAAACAGG
rnacentral:rRNA from 1 species